rnacentral:rRNA from 1 species
UACAGAGGGUGCAAGCGUUAAUCGGAAUUACUGGGCGUAAAGCGCGCGUAGGCGGCUUGACAAGUCGAGUGUGAAAUCCCCGGGCUUAACCUGGGGGGCUGCGCUUGAUACUGAUUGGCUUGAAUGCGGGAGAGGAUAGUGGAAUUCCCAGUGUAGAGGUGAAAUUCGUAGAUAUCAGGAGGAACACCGGUGGCGAAGGCGGCAUCCUGGACCGGCAUUGACGCUGAGGCGCGAAAGCCAGGGGAGCAAACGGGG